GCACUUGAAAACAUUAUGGAGGCUGGCUUGACCCCAUCUUUGAACUUCAGGCGGGAAAGUCCGCGGAAAGGGCGUUACUCCCACCGAAGUUUCUUUCAAAUGACUGGAAAAGGACGUCGACUGAUCUUGGUCUUGUGCAGCCAGCGAGAGUGACAACCUGUAUUCCAGAAAAUAUUGGUAUGAAUGACUUGGCCUUCAGUUUGACUUCAGUUGCAUCAUCCAGUAGCGGACACUUCUUGAUAGACACAGGCACGCACCUUGCCUUCCAUCACUAUAAGUUUUCUUUACACAUCAGCGGUUUCGUUUCCUGACUGCCGACCGCCGCGCUGAUGAAAGGACCGGUAACAUUCUGAGAACCAAACCAUCACAUCGAUAACGCGACGGCAACGCGGCGAUAAGAAGAGAUUUAAUUUGUAAUAUGAUGGAAAGUAUUCAAUCGUUAAAAGACAUUUGGAAACAAACAACAAACCACAGUGACAACACAGAAAUGUUUAAUCUCCUGGUGAGACAGUUUUCAACUGAAGGAGAGGAAAAUGAUAAUGAUGUGUCUUUUGAGAGGGUAUUGCAUCCUUAUAUAAGACCACAAGAAGCUGAAAGAGAGAAGCAAUAUGCAUUUUCUGUCAUCCUCAUGAAAGACAACAGACAAAUGUUUUUUCCACCAGUUUAUCCAGAUUUUACAACCAACAAAGAGUCUGGUGGUCCAAAAACAGCAAUCCACAGUGAAGAAAUUUUAAUUAAACAACUGGAUAACUUUAUGUGCCAAAAUGGAACAAAGGUGAAACAAGUUUUGAUUUACACGUAUUACAGCCCGUGUUUAAAGAGGAACAGACCUGACCCUUGUAUGUUUCAGGUUAUAGACAGUGCCGCUGCAUGGUUUACGCGUUAUGGUGUUUACACUUAUGUGGUAUUCACAAAGUCAUGGGGAUUAAACGGUCCAAAUUAUUUUAAAAAUCUCAGUUAUGCCACUAUCUCAUGUCCCUGCAGUGUUUUUUAUCCGUAUAUUGAAAAAAGCAAGGGCACUUCUUUCUGUUUGGAUCAUAAGAAUCUGAGAAGCAUUUUUAAAAAAAGUGACGUCUACAAGACAUUGUCACGUGUUGAAGACAAUGAUAAAAAUACUCUACGCUGCAGUAUUAAGUCUGCUCAUGAAACCCUUGUGACGCUGGCUCAAAAUUCACAUGGUCUGUGUAAACAUCAUUUGGAAUGUGGAGAACAGGCAAUUCAGUCUUUCUCAUUUCUGCCCGAAGUUCACCAUGAAAUUUGUGAGAAAUUGGAGAAGGAUUGGAAGGAAAUGGUCAGAAACAGUUCGAUGACAGUGAUCAGAAAAACCAUCACAGAAGAAUUCAACAGUGCUGUAGUUCAUCUAUUUAGAGAACAGUUGGAGUCAUCUGUGGGGAAGAGCAGCCCCCUGCGGCUUCACUGUAUUCCUUGCCCUGCCCGCUUGUCUCCUCGGCGCUCUUGUGCUCGAUCACGAAGCAGAACGUUUGAUUACCUAUGCAGACAGCAGGACUAAGAUAAGAAUUCUUGCGGCAUUGCUUAUGAUGCGACAGGAAACCAAGGGCUUUGGAAAGUUUUUUAAUCCAUGUGAACAGCAGUUGAACAUGGGUCAGUUAGUCCUAAGAAAUGGACGAACGCCGUUCGGAAGGAUGGGGCGAUGGCCUACGUCGCCCCCGGCCGAUCGAAAGGGAGUCGAACCUUCUUCAACUCACCAAUUUAAAAAAAGAAAUCAUACUGUUUAGCCCCCCCAUUUCCCCACGACGAUGUCAACCUUGGUCCUCUGUCCACCAGUCAAAAACUCACUGCCAGAAAGCUACGUGUUAUAUUUGGCUCAGCUUUACUCACUAACUUAACUUAAUUGUUUUAACUUAUUGGUUUUAAAUUGUAUAUUUCCUUUUUUAAAAAUGUAAAUCUUGAACCUUGUUCACAAUUUGUCUAUUUAUGUUUUGUUUAUUAUUUAUUUUGUUUAUUGCCUUCUAUUUGUGUAAAAAUUGUCAUUUUUGUUUUUAAUGAUUGUUAUGCACUUGGGAAAGCUGGUUUUUGAAAGGUGCUAUGCAAAUUAAUACUGCUCAAACAAAAAUAACGGGAACACUUAAACAACACAAUGUAACUCCAAGUCAAUCUGUGAAAUCAGCCUGUCCAGUUUGGAAGCAACACUGAUUGUGAAUCAAUUUCACCUGCUGUUGUGCAAAUGGAACAGAUACCCGGUGGAAAUGAGAAGCAAUUAGCAAGACAACCACUAAAAAGGAGUGGUUCUGCAGGUGGUGCGAGCUGUGGCAAGAAGGUUUGCUGUGUCUGUCAUCACAGUGUCCAGAGCAUCGAGGAGAUACCCGGAGACAGGGGGCUUGUGCUUACAGCCCAACACCGUGCAGGGCGAUUGGCAUUUGCCAGAGAACACCAAGACUGGCGGGUUCGCCAUUGGCACCCUGGGCUCUUCAUGGAUGAGAGCAUCCAUCCAUCCAUCGCUCCAUCCACCAACGCCACGUUGCACCACAGACUGUCCAAGAGUUGACUGAUGCUUUAAUGCAGGUCUGGGAGGAGAUCCCUCAGGAGAACAUCUGCCACCUCAUCAGGAGCAUGCCCAGGAGUUGUAGGGAGGUCAUGCAGGCACAUGGAGGCCACACACACUACUGAGCCUUAUUUUGACUUGUCUUGAGGAAUUUUCACUCAAGUUGGAUCAGCCUGUAAUGUGAUUUUCCACUUUUAUUUUGAAUAUGAUUCUGAAUCCAGACCUCCAUGGGAUACUAAUUUUGAUUUACAUUGAUCAUUUUUAUGUUAUUUUGUACUCAACAUAUUCUACUAUGUAAUGAAUGUGUUAUUUUAGUGUUCCCUUUAUUUUUUUGAGCAGUGUAUAUGUGUGUGUAUAAUGUUUUGUAUAACUAUCAUAUUUCUGGUUCAUUUUUGCUUUUUGUUUUUUUUGUUUGUUUUGUGUCAUGUUAGCAUUGCUGUUUGUGGAUUAUAGCUUUGUUUUCAACACCAUCAUCCCAGACAUCCUGGUCAAUAAGAUGGCAGCCUUAGGCCUGCCCUCACUCACUUGUGCUUGGGUCAAAGACUUUUGACCAGUCACUCCCAGACUGUGAAGACUGGCAAUCUGUCCUACCUGCACACUCAGCACUGGCUUCUGAAGUGUGUCUUCACAGAGUCACUGUGGUGUUGAAGACAUCAUGCCUCGUUCUCGUUCUGUCUGCGUGUGAAGUGCAGCCAAACUGAAAUUAUGUUCAUCAGAGAUACUUCAGUUAUUAUCUCACCGAAGCUGAAAUUUACACUUGGAAGACAGGGGCUUCUGAGGACAAGGGAGUGGCGCAAGCAGAGUACAGGGAAUGGCAGACAAGAAGAAACAAUGUGCCCGGAGAGAAAAGAAAGGAAAGCGGGCAGGCUCGCAUGCCCAGCUAAAGGCUAGCAAGCCACCAAUUCAAGAUCGACGUUCAAGAUCGACGUUCAAGAUCGGCGUUCAAGAUCGACGUUCAAGAUCGGCGUUCAAAAUCGACGUUCAAGAUCGACGGCCUGGAGCUUUUCUGGGCGGACGGCAACCACUGGUUGGUGGAAGACACGAGGAGGAGGACUGUGAAUUAAGGUAUGGAGGCCUGACGUGAGAUACAGGCAUGGCGAGGCAUGGCGUGGAAUUCUGCUGUGGCGUGGGAAUCCGAGGCGGCUGACGACUGGACCCUCGAAGUCGCGAUUGGAGGGCUAUGGACCACAGCGGCAGGCAGCAGGCAGCCUGGUCUGUGGAGUCGGGACAGGCGCGCUGAUUUCCAUGGUGGUGGAGGGCCCGGUCCGUGGAGUAUUGUUAAGUCGCUCUUAGGGUGACGCAUGGGUAAUUGUUGCAAAAUUUGCCCAGCACUCCAGCCUCGAGCCCGUUAUUCGAAAUGGACUACAGACACAUGUACAAGAACAAUAAGCAGGUUCAGAUCGCUCUUCUUUGACCCAAAUAAGAUGUCCGUGGACCUUGAUCGCCCUUGCUGAGAGGAAGCAUCAGCAGUCUGACAUGUUUAAAGGACCAGAGGUACACCUCGACUUGACUCCCAGUGCCUCUGGACUUUGUGAGACUAUGGUGAGUGAACCUCCGAUGCUCUAGGGGACUCUAUAGGCCUGUCUGCUGUGGCGCCGAGCACAGGCGGACUCAGCCCUGAGACAGUGAGCUGCGGCCCCUCUGCUGUGACGUGAUGAGCAGGCGGACCCAGCCCGGGAACAGUGAGCUGCUGCCCCUCUGCUGUGGCGUGAACAGCAGGCAGACCCAGCCUAAAUGCUGGGCGGCGUUCAAGAUCGACGUUCAAGAUCGGCGUUCAAGAUCGGCGUUCAAGAUCGGCAUUCAAGAUCGACGUUCAAGAUCGGCGUUCAAAAUCGACGUUCAAGAUCGACGGCCUGGAGCUUUUCUGGGCGGACGGCAACCACUGGUUGGUGGAAGACACGAGGAGGAGGACUGUGAAUUAAGGCAUGGAGGCCUGACGUGAGAUACAGGCAUGGCGAGGCAUGGCGUGGAAUUCUGCUGUGGCGUGGGAAUCCGAGGCGGCUGACGACCGGACUAUAGACCACAGUGGCAGGCAGCAGGCAGCAGGCAGCCUGGUCCGUGGAGUCGGGACAGGAGCGCUGGUCUCCACUGUGGCCUCCACUGUGGCAGAUGGCCUGGUCCGUGGAGUCGGGACGGCAGCGUUGGUCUCCACGGUGGCGGACGACCUGGUCCGUGGAGUCGGGACAGGAGCGCUGGUCUCCACUGUGGCAGAUGGCCUGGUCCGUGGAGUCGGGACGGCAGCGUUGGUCUCCACGGUGGCGGACGGCCUGGUCCGUGGAGUCGGGACGGCAGCGUUGGUCUCCACGGUGGCGGACGACCUGGUACGUGGAGUCUGGUAAGGAGUGCUGAUCUCCAUGGCGGCUGACUGCCUGGUCCAUGGCGUCGGGACUGGAGGUACAGACGCCGGACAGGCACAGCUAGGCACCGGUUCUGGGGAGCUUGUCGCCGACUGCAGGCCAAUCCUAGAUCUCCUGUGACUCGUGCACCUUCCACAGGGGCCCAAGACUGGGAAGAUUGGCAGUCUCUCCUACCUGCACACUCAGCACUGGCUUCUGAAGUGAGUCUUCACAGAGUCACUGUGGUGUGGAAGACAUCAUGCCUCGUUCUCGUCCUGUCCAUCGACUUCAGGAAAAACAUAGCAGCCCCUCCUGCCCUAUACAUCAAAAACGACUGUGUAGAGAGUACACACUUUCAAAUUCCUCGGCACCCUCAUAUCAGCUCACCUCUCCUGGACCCUAAGCACCACGACAGUCAUCAAGUACAAGAUGGCAGCACACAGUAGAGCAGCGGCUUCUCGAGCUCCCGGGACUAAGCCUUAUUUCAACAACUCGGCAUUCAAGAUCAACGUUCAAGAUUGGCGUUCAAGAUCGGCGUUCAAGAUCGACGUUCAAGAUCAGCGUUCAAG